rnacentral:tRNA from 1 species
GGGGAGGCAUCGCCCGGCACUAGACGUAUCAAGGCACUCGGAGACUCAUAAUCCGUCGGCCGUGGGUUCGAGUCCCACCCGCCCCA